AAUAUUUCGCAAUGGGGGAAACCCUGACACAGCAACGCCGCGUGAGCGAUGAAGGCCUUCUGGUCGUAAAGCUCUGUCUGGAGGGAUGAAAAAAUUGACAGUACCUCCGGAGGAAGCCCCGGCUAACUACGUGCCAGCAGCCGCGGUAAUACGUAGGGUGCAAGCGUUGUCCGGAAUUACUGGGCGUAAAGGGCGCGUAGGCGGUAUUGUAAGUGAGAUGUGAAAGGCAAGGGCUCAACCGUUGAAUUGCAUUUGAAACUAUAAGACUUGAGUGAGGGAGAGGGGAGCGGAAUUCCUGGUGUAGCGGUGAAAUGCGUAGAGAUUAGGAAGAACCCCAAUGGCGAAGGCAGCUCUCUGGACUGUAACUGACGCUGAGGCGCGAAAGCGUGGGGAGCGAACA
rnacentral:rRNA from 1 species